CAUAUAUCUUUCAUAUUAAUGGUUGGUUCAUAUUGAAAAACACCGUAGAAAUAUAGAAUACAGGGUUAGAUAAAGGAAAAUAUUGGAAGAUGAGUGAUUGCAGAUGUGAAAUCAAAGUGGAAAAACGUUCGCGAUCAUUUUCUCAAGUCCCUAAAAAGACCCAAAAGCGGAGUUACGGCCAAAAAAACAGAUAUAUGUAUGCCGAUGCUUUGGAGUUCCUUCUUUCAGCUUCCGAGUAAAGAAGGUACCUCAAGCCCCC